GACGAACACUGGCGGCGUGCCUAAUACAUGCAAGUUGAGCGCUGAAGGUUGGUACUUGUACCAACUGGAUGAGCAGCGAACGGGUGAGUAACGCGUGGGGAAUCUGCCUUUGAGCGGGGGACAACAUUUGGAAACGAAUGCUAAUACCGCAUAAAAACUUUAAACACAAGUUUUAAGUUUGAAAGAUGCAAUUGCAUCACUCAAAGAUGAUCCCGCGUUGUAUUAGCUAGUUGGUGAGGUAAAGGCUCACCAAGGCGAUGAUACAUAGCCGACCUGAGAGGGUGAUCGGCCACAUUGGGACUGAGACACGGACCAAAAUCCUACGGGAGGCAGCAGUAGGGAAUCUUCGGCAAAGGACGAAAGGCUGACCGAGCAACGGCGGGGGAGGGAAGAAGGUUGUCGGAUCGUAAAACUCUGUUGGUAGAGAAGAACGUUGGUGAGAGUGGAAAGCGCAUCAAGUGACGGUAACUACCCAGAAAGGGACGGCUAACUACGUG
rnacentral:rRNA from 1 species